rnacentral:lncRNA from 1 species
GAAGAGAGGAGUGUGAGGUCAAGAGGUCUCGCAGGGAUGGUAGGUUCAGUGGUACCUCACCCAGGAAAGAUGCCAUCAUGGGAGAGGUCAUACUGGUAGACCAGCUCAUUUAGCACAGAAGCGUGCUCGCUGCGCUCCAAUUCAGCCAUUGUUCAGUGCACUCCCAAUGCAGAGUUCCUACCAUGCUCUUCCCUUCUGGUGUUUUUCUGGUGGAUAUUCAGGCCGUCAAAGGCAGGCACAAAGUCAGCUGCUUGUUCAGCUGUUAGUUGCUUUGGGUGUUGGUAGUUUGCGCAUAUCAUGGAGGAUUGUCCCAAGCGUGUUAGAGAUGUAGUGCAGCAGAGCUCUCAGGUUAUGGAUCCUACACCAGUUGCUAUGCCACUUGCCCAGCAACUAAAGGUGGAGGUUCAGCGCAUCGUUAUGCUUUAAGCGAUAGACCUGGGGCAAUGGCCUCUGAUGCGGUUAUCUCAGGUACUAUUUCAAUUUGUUAGAUGUUUCUAUGUUCUUGGAAUCUGGGAUCUUCAUAAUUCUAUGUGUUAUCAUGUCUGUAUCUUGUUUUGGUAUGUCUUGCGCGUCUCGGGCUGGUCCUAUAUAUGUAUCUGUAACAGUUGAGAAUUCUAUUAUUGUGAAUCGGGUCUAUUGGUCAUUGUUCUUACUAUAUGUGAAUGUGACACGAUGGUUAAUCUUCUAUUAUAGAUAUUGAGUGGAUAAAGGAAAUUCAAAUUCUUGAGGAAUUGUUGAGGACUUAGGUAGUUGAUUGUGGAGUUCGUGUAGACAAAAUAUAGGAAUUAUCAAGUUUUAGUUUGAACUACUUAAGUAUCUACUGAUGUUUCAAUUGUGGAGAAUUGAGUUGGCAUUGGAUCUUGCUGAAAACUUAGAUUAUUCUACACCAGCGUUGGUAUGACUAUGCAGAGAUAGAGAAGUAAAAAGGAGUAUGUUUUGAAGUCGUCAGAGUUCUCUUCAGACUGAGUGUUUUGAUUUAAGGUACUAUCACUUGUGAGAGGGAAAAAAUAUCAGGCCUUGUGUUAUUUCAGUAAUAUGCUUCUUGUAAGGAUCGUCGUGCAGGUUUUGACUGAAUAAAUUGUGUCCUAGUAGGAAUCAAGAGGUGUCUUCAAAAGGGAAGUCUGGAGUUUCAUGGACGAAUUUGAGUGCGGGAGUGCUUUGGUUUGUUCGCUUAGAAAGGUUCAAUUUUGAUGGUUCAAUCUUCUAGGAGAUAUCUUUAGGGAGAUAGAGGUGGUCUUCACUACGAUUUCGACAUUGGCAUUACUUAUAGAAUCACAUAAUGCGUGGUGUGUUUAUAAUUUAUUUUGCAAGUAUAGCUAAGUUGUGUGCUUCUUAGGUAAUGGAAUGCCUUCGGAAGGCUUUGACUAGGUGUUUUAGGGGUGGGGUGUUUUGUAAUUAGUCAAAUUGAGAAACUUAUUGAUUGACAUGAAGAGGUUUAUGGAAGUGUUCUUCUAGGGUUGAUUGUGUAUAGAUUCAUAGUGUUUUGGUGGAUGAUUCAGAGUUCAGCAGUGUGAGGAUUCUGUUAUUCUUUAGGUUAAGAGGUUCUAAUUCUAGAGGUAAAACAUCAUUGGGUAGGGUAAUGAGAGUGUAUUAAUGAUUGAAAGGUUGAACUGGUGAAUUCAGCAUAGGUGAUCUUGGGAGGUUAGUACAUGAUGGAAUAUAUGGUCAGUAAUAUGGGGGAUGGAUAGGUUAUUCUAGGGUAUAGGGGAAUGUAUCAUACAGAGGUCUUGGAUAGGGAAGUGUGGUAAAGGGGUAGUGGGAGUUUCUCCUUUGUGCUUGUGACAAUGAUCAUGUUCAGUAAAGGCUUCAGGAGUUGGCAAAUUUUAGUACUUGACGCUUUUGGAUUCCACGAGGUUAGAGACAUCAUGUGUGACUUGUUUAGGUGAAGGACCGUGAGAAAAACGCUAUCGGUGUGUUUCUUGUUAAUUUAGUCGAUAAUGGGUUGUAUCCACAUCUGUGAUUGAGGUUCAUGGUUGGGAUAUUCCUGGAAUGUCCAUGAGUUAAAGAUAAAGCAAUGGAAGGCUUAUGAUUUAUCUCAUAAGAAUUGUUGUUGGCUUUGAGCUGGCUACUAUCGGCCUAUUCAGAUCGUGUGCCCUAUACCGAGUCAGAUUUGCUUAUAUAGGCAAGAUAUGAUAUAGAUAUAUCAUUUGGAAAUUCUAGUCAUUAGAGAUAUUUUGGUUUAGUAGGUUCAAUAAAAGUGGAAUUCUUCAAAACGUUGAGGCAUUUGUAUAAAAUGCUUUUGGGGCAUAGAUUGAGUUGGGUUGGUUGCUUGUAUAUUGAUAGAACAAAUAUUCUGAUCAGGGUUUUAGAUGUUCGGUGAUCGUUGAGGAAGAAUGUCAUAAGCUCAAGAAGUUAUUAUGUUCCAUUACUUUUCUUCAAAUUCAUUGUAUUUGAGCAGAUAUUGAGAUAAGGCAUAACCAUUCUAUUUUGGGACUUGUACAGAAGUUGAUGUCAAUUGUUGGUUGAGUAGUUUGUAAUUGAUGAUACUAAGCUAGUAGGCUCGAAAUUUCUGAAAUUGGACUUGAAUGCGAAUAGCUUUCGAUGAAAAUGCUUUCAGAUGGCUUAGAUCAAGUAAUGGCUACUAUCAGGUGUGAGAAAUUCAUGAAUUAUCACUAUGGACAUUAGUUAGGAGUUUCUAUAGGUUUCUUUUGUCACUAUGUGCGUUGUAAAGAUUUAGAAGAAAGAUAUAUUGAGUUAUGCCAUUUUUGUCGGUGCGGGGUUGGCACGAGCAGUUAUUGCAGUACAUAGAAUAUUAUUAUGAUUAUAAGAUUUAUGGAAUGUACAAGUGGUUGCAAUCGGUUGGUUAAUAUAUGUCAUGAUAUUGUUUAUCAAGAUUGUAAUGAUGAAAAUAUAUGAGAAUUUGACAUAUGAAGAUUCCAAGUGUUAAAGAUGAAUUAAUGGAUUUGUAAGCUUGGGUUGAUGAAGAAAUUCCUAGAAGAGUUAUCCUAAUGGUAUUAGCCGUGUGAAGUAGUGUAUGAUGAGUUACUUGGUUAUUCGACAGCUUUGGAAGGACUCCUAACAUGUUCGAGGACGAAUGUAAUGAUCUAAUCGAUUGUUUUGAGUUUUAACACCUCGUUUCCCUGAUUGAGAUAUUCCCUAGGUGCAUUUCGUGGUUUAUGACUUGAGUACAUAGUUAGAAUGCAUUCCGUGAGGUUUGGAAUUGAUUUGGAACAAUUAGUUCCUAUUUGGAAGCUUCAAGUUGUUAUAGUUGACCGAGGUUUGACUUUUGGUUAAACGGACUCGAAAUUAAUUUUUAAUGGUUCCGCUAGGUUGGUAUGAUGAUUUUGGACUUGGGCAUAUAUUCAGAUUUAAAUUUGGACGACGACAUUCCUAGAAGAUUUUUGACUCCACUUGUCAGAAGUUGGCAAUUUGAAGAAUUUGAGAGUUCUUAAGUUUGACCGAUAGUUUUCUAUGAUGUUAUAGGACCCCUAUUCCUGUUCUGCGACAUAAUAUAGAUUCAUGUUAUUGAGUGUAACUUGUGUGCAAAUCUUGGUUGUGAUCCGGAAUGUCUAAGUAUGAUUCAAAGGCGUUCGAUGAAGUUGGAAGCUGAAAGGCAAGAAAUUUGGUUUGAUCUUUGAUUAUCGGUUUUGAUGUUAUUAUUUGUAUUUCGAGUCAUUAAAUAAGUUUUCAUGAGGUUUAUGAACUUUUAGAAUUAUUAGACGGGUACCUAAAGGUCUUGGGUGAGUUUCGAGGUGGUUUCGGGCGAUUUUGAGAAGUAUAACUGCUGCAGUUUUUUUGUUGUAUAGCAGUAAUUCGCAAUCGUUGAGUUGUGUCUUGUGAUCGCGGAGAAGGAGCUAGUAUGGGCAAAGAUUUUCUAUUCCCGAUUGCGUAGAGCUUGUCCACGAUUGCAUACAAAGGGAGUUUGGGUAAACUUCAUGACCGUGGGGUAAUUAGGUGUGAUUGUGUAAGGGUGAGGCAGGUAAGACAGCAGCCUCCGCGGUCGCAUAGGACUGUGCUGCAAUCAUGGUACACUCUGCCAUUGUUGGUCUUCGCGAUCGCAUAGGAUGGAGCAGCAAUCGCGAUUCAAUGAGACUUGGCAAUACUUAUGAGGCUAAAAAUCAAGAAUUGGUCAUUUUAUCCCGUUUUGAAGCCCUGGCUUCAGGUAAGACGAUUUUGAGCAGAUUUUCACCCAUAGUUCAAGUGGUAAGUAACCUCAACUCACCUUUGAAUUAUUAUCCUAGUUAUUUAUGGAUUUGAGCUUAUAAAUCAAGAGAUUAAAAGAGGGAAAAUGUGAGUUUUGGAGAAAUGUUUGAGAAGUGAUAUUUUGAGGUUUAGAUCAUGAAAUCGAAGUCACAUUUGAGAGAAAAUUAUAUAUUUGGACUUGUGGUGUUAUGAGUAAUCAUAAUCUUCAAUUUAUUUCGAAUUUCGAGCGUGUGGGCCUGAGGUUGAAUUUUUUAAAAUGAGUAAAUAUUGAACCUUUUAAGUAUGAGUUGAUUCCUAAAGCUUAUAAUGACUUAUGUGAACAUCAUUUGACUAGAUACAAGUCAUUUGGUGGUAGAUUGUAAUUUGUUAGGAAAUUGGAAGGCAAGAUGUGCAUUAAGGUGCGGAAAUACUAGAAUUUCAAGGGCUAGAGUAAAGUAUCAAUUUCUGAACCAUUUAAUAUGGUCCAUAUCUAAACACUAUUGCACCAAGGAGUGGCUUGGUCACUGGUUUGGCAUCUGUGAUCAAGUUCUUUCACUCUCCCAUAAGAUUGAAUGUUUUGAUGUAAGUGGAUGAAACCUCUCUCCAACUAGGUCAAAAUAAAUACUGAUGGAAGUCGGAAUGAGGAAGGGGUUAUGGGGGCUAGAGGUAUUAUUAGAGACUCUGAAGGCAAUUUGAUCUUGGCUUUUGCAUAUAGCAUGGGAAGGGGCAGUAGCAAUUUGGUGGAGGCAAAGGCAGCAUGGAUGGGGUGAAGUGGUGUAUUUCACGAG